CCAGGCCCGAUCCAUUUUCGUUCAAAAUAAGGGAAAAGGGUUUCCCUUAUUCCCUUUCACCGCCUCUUCUCCGCCUCCCUCUUCCCCUUUCCUCUUCUUCAUCGCCACCACAUCUUCGUCCGCCGCCUCCUUUCCGCCUCUUCUCUUUCCUUCUUCCUCCUCCCAUCACCGCCUCCAACCCCAUCGCCACCGCCGCGCCUCCUCAUUUCCCCUCUUUCGUCGUCGACUCUUCCCACGCUACACGCACCUCCACUAUCUCCCUCACCCCACUGCUUCAUCACCCACACCCAUACCUCCAUUUCACCAUCGUUACCCGCACCAUCCUCUGACACCACGUUACCCCCACUCGCGUCUGACAUCUCCACCAUAGCCUGUCCCCCACGCGUCUAUUCCCUCUCCACCUCCGCCUGCUCUGACACCACUACAUCUCCACCUUCUGUUGUUCCCCGCUCCCUUUCCCUUUAUUCAACACAAAAAUAAAUGGUAGAUCUAUAAAUGAGGGAGAAAAAUUCGAAUUAAGGGGGGGAUUUUUUUUUGGAUUCAGAAAAAUUCCAAAAGAGCCGAUUUUCUUUCAGUUCCAGAAAUCCCCUGUGAAAUAUUUUGUUUAGUUGUCACAAUAUCGCAAAAAAUAUCGAACAAAAAAUACUAAAAGGAUUUUUCGUCUGUUCUGUGUUUGUUGCGAAUCCGAGUUUCGCAACCUCGAAUUUGAAGUGUUUCGAGUGUGAAUCGAAGACCCGCACCCAUUUCGCUGCACUCGCAAAAGGUAGCAACCCCCUUGUCUAUUCAUUUCCUAUUUUCCUUUUUUUUUUUAGUUACCUGUAUGCAUAUAUGUUUAUGUGCCAGCUUAGUUAGCAAAAACAUGAUUUCCUGUGUUAGUUUAGUUUAGUAGUUAAGCCUGUUUAUAUGUUAGUCCCAGCUUAAUUUAUCGAAUCCUAUACAUUAGCUUAGUUUACAAAAACAUGAUUUCCUGUGUUAGUUUAGUUUAGUAGUUAAGCCUGUUUAUAUGUUAGUCCCAGCUUAAUUUAUCGAAUCCUAUACAUUAGCUUAGUUUAGUUUUAUGCAGUCAAAUAUGUCUUAUGUGUUAUUAUGCCCUGAGAUAUUAAGCAUGAUCUAGUUCUUUUCUUAGCUGGUUCAGUCAAAUACGCCUCAGAAAUUAUGUUGGCUCUAGUCUGCCUGUAUUAAACAUUCAUAUAUUGGUUUUGCUUUAGUUCAUCAUGAUUUGUGUGAUGUUCUUGUUAUGGUUGAUCGAUUGGCUAUUGUAUAGCAAGAUUCAGAUGUUUUUUUUUUCGUAGUCUGGCUGCGAGGUACAUGUUGGUCUAGUUCCUGCCUAUCGUUCGCUUAAAGCCUGGUUUUGCUAUUGUUUGCUGUUGUUCUGUUGCCAGGAUAGAUGUGGUGUCUUCGCAUGUAAAUUAAUUUGAAGUGAGGCUGAAACUCUAGCAUGACUGCCUGAUAUUGGUAUUCAUUUAAGUUUGAUGUAGAAACUGUUUUGAGUUGUUUUGUGCUGAAUCAUGUGUCUUAAUCCUUUAAUAGAUAUUCCUUGCUUGUUUUUCUUAUACCAAUUUGAAGAGAUGCUUAGAUAAAAGCUUAACCCCAAAGUGAUCCUAAAUUGUUAAGAGGGUGCUAGUGAACUCACGUUGGAAUAUAUGGUAGUCUGUAAUGCAUUGGUACUGGGCAUAGUUGUUUAGUUUACAUAUGUGUUUGUUUGAGCAUGUCUUGUAGGCCCUUCUGACCACUUAUGCCCAUUUGCACAUCUUUCCUUUUUGCCCCCCCCUUAAGUGUAGAAAGCAUAUCUCCAGUUCCAGUGAUAACAUUAAGUUAUGCGAAAUCAGAUGACUGCUAGGAUUGAGCCUCGAUUCAGAAUUUCUAUGUUUGUUGCUCUCUAACAAGAUUGAGAAAGUUUUGUUUACCUUGCUCAAAUAUAAGAGUUCUACAUAAUGUUUGGCACUAGCAUAAGCUCAUCCCUCAUGCCUGUCCCCAGCAUGCCAUCCUCAAAUCACCAACAUGUACUCAAUAUGCAUGAACUUCGAUUGCUAGUAUGUGCCUUCACGUAAUUGUAUAUGCUUGCAUAUUCUUUUUUUUUCCUUUUAAAAUGACUUGCUGUUUGAAUGCUUGUUCGAAUAUCUAAGGGUGAUGUAAACCCUUUUUUCUGUGAAUUGUGAACGGGUUUCAGUUCUCUUUUUUUUCCUUUUGUUGAGAACCUGCUUGGGGGUUGUUUGGUCGUCUCUUUAUGCAUUCAAACACAUGCAGAAAUCUCAAACCUGUUUUCCAUAGUUUGAUAUCUUCUUUUCUGGGUGUACUUAAGUGUACAUUUUUAGCUUUUGGUUGUUUUGCUCAAGAUAAAACAAAAAUCUGGAAAACAGUCCUCAUCCCACUCAUAUGUCAAAAAAUGGAAUAACUUCUCAUCUUAUGAAUAACAUGUUUGAAAUUGCUACUUAUGAACUUGAGAGUGAGAUCCGACAAGGAAUCUCGUGCAUAUCGGCAUAGCUAGUUGAAAUAUUUCAGAACAUGAGUUGAUUCUGUGUUUCGCAUUGGCUGUUGUAUGGUGAUUGUUUGGGAAUAUCCUCAAUAUACUUAUAAGCAUUUCAAUUUUAUUAAGGCAAGGGGCAUACACUUGAUAUACAUGUGAUAUGUGCAUCCAGGUGUACAUAUCUUAGGAAUAUCAUGUAUACGACUAAGAUUGGCAGAAUACAUAAGGCCCAUAUUUUCCUCAGUUUAGAAAACUGAAGCCAGCGAAAUUGCUAUUGAGUUAGAUAUUAAAUUUUCAAGUAUCAUUCACUAUCAUGCCGUCAUAUCAGUAAAAUAUGUAUUUGUGCAAGAAAUAAUAUGUUGCAAAUAUUGGUUUGUUUUUUGAGAACUUACAAUAUAUAUAUAUAUAUAUAUAUAUAUAUAUAUAUAUAUAUGUUUAGCCUCCGUUGAUUACAUGCUAAUCCUUUUCUUUUCAUUUUUGCAUGAUCACCACAUACGAGUCCGAGUGACUCGUUCUUCGUCCAUAUUCGGUGUUGGGCUAAAAGCCCAACAGAAUCUUCUACGUGUUCAAGGCCCAACAGUAGCAGAUCAGUCAUCCCUCAAAAUGGGCUGAGCCCAUGUCCGACUGCAGCAGCCCCUUUCUUACAAAAAAUGGGCUGAAUCCAUCUGAAUUAUUUCCCCCUUUAUUUAUUUAUGCAUUUAAUUUGUAUUAUGCAACUAACUCUUUGUUUGUUUUGUUUUCUUAGUUUAGAUAAAUCCUAAUAAAUUAGGAGGUUAGUUUUAGUGAUGGGUAGUUAGUUUAAGGAAUACUAACAAUUAAUUUCAUAAGUUAAUACUAUUCUUUUCAUGCUUCA